rnacentral:rRNA from 1 species
UACGGAGGGUGCGAGCGUUGUCCGGAAUCACUGGGCGUAAAGGGCGCGUAGGCGGCCUGUUAAGUAGGGGGUGAAAUCUUGCGGCUUAACCGCAAGGCUGCCUUCUAAACUGUCAGGCUAGAGCACAGUAGAGGCAGGUGGAAUUCCCGGUGUAGCGGUGGAAUGCGUAGAGAUCGGGAAGAACAUCAGUGGCGAAGGCGGCCUGCUGGGCUGUUGCUGACGCUGAGGCGCGACAGCGUGGGGAGCAAACAGG